GGUUAAGCGACUAAGCGUACACGGUGGAUGCCCUGGCAGUCAGAGGCGAUGAAGGACGUGCUAAUCUGCGAUAAGCGUCGGUAAGGUGAUAUGAACCGUUAUAACCGGCGAUUUCCGAAUGGGGAAACCCAGUGUGUUUCGACACACUAUCAUUAACUGAAUCCAUAGGUUAAUGAGGCGAACCGGGGGAACUGAAACAUCUAAGUACCCCGAGGAAAAGAAAUCAACCGAGAUUCCCCCAGUAGCGGCGAGCGAACGGGGAGCAGCCCAGAGCCUGAAUCAGUGUGUGUGUUAGUGGAAGCGUCUGGAAAGGCGCGCGAUACAGGGUGACAGCCCCGUACACAAAAAUGCACAUACUGUGAGCUCGAUGAGUAGGGCGGGACACGUGGUAUCCUGUCUGAAUAUGGGGGGACCAUCCUCCAAGGCUAAAUACUCCUGACUGACCGAUAGUGAACCAGUACCGUGAGGGAAAGGCGAAAAGAACCCCGGCGAGGGGAGUGAAAAAGAACCUGAAACCGUGUACGUACAAGCAGUGGGAGCACGCUUCGGCGUGUGACUGCGUACCUUUUGUAUAAUGGGUCAGCGACUUAUAUUCUGUAGCAAGGUUAACCGAAUAGGGGAGCCGAAGGGAAACCGAGUCUUAACUGGGCGUUAAGUUGCAGGGUAUAGACCCGAAACCCGGUGAUCUAGCCAUGGGCAGGUUGAAGGUUGGGUAACACUAACUGGAGGACCGAACCGACUAAUGUUGAAAAAUUAGCGGAUGACUUGUGGCUGGGGGUGAAAGGCCAAUCAAACCGGGAGAUAGCUGGUUCUCCCCGAAAGCUAUUUAGGUAGCGCCUCGUGAACUCAUCUUCGGGGGUAGAGCACUGUUUCGGCAAGGGGGUCAUCCCGACUUACCAACCCGAUGCAAACUGCGAAUACCGGAGAAUGUUAUCACGGGAGACACACGGCGGGUGCUAACGUCCGUCGUGAAGAGGGAAACAACCCAGACCGCCAGCUAAGGUCCCAAAGUCAUGGUUAAGUGGGAAACGAUGUGGGAAGGCCCAGACAGCCAGGAUGUUGGCUUAGAAGCAGCCAUCAUUUAAAGAAAGCGUAAUAGCUCACUGGUCGAGUCGGCCUGCGCGGAAGAUGUAACGGGGCUAAACCAUGCACCGAAGCUGCGGCAGCGACACUAUGUGUUGUUGGGUAGGGGAGCGUUCUGUAAGCCUGUGAAGGUGUGCUGUGAGGCAUGCUGGAGGUAUCAGAAGUGCGAAUGCUGACAUAAGUAACGAUAAAGCGGGUGAAAAGCCCGCUCGCCGGAAGACCAAGGGUUCCUGUCCAACGUUAAUCGGGGCAGGGUGAGUCGACCCCUAAGGCGAGGCCGAAAGGCGUAGUCGAUGGGAAACAGGUUAAUAUUCCUGUACUUGGUGUUACUGCGAAGGGGGGACGGAGAAGGCUAUGUUGGCCGGGCGACGGUUGUCCCGGUUUAAGCGUGUAGGCUGGUUUUCCAGGCAAAUCCGGAAAAUCAAGGCUGAGGCGUGAUGACGAGGCACUACGGUGCUGAAGCAACAAAUGCCCUGCUUCCAGGAAAAGCCUCUAAGCAUCAGGUAACAUUAAAUCGUACCCCAAACCGACACAGGUGGUCAGGUAGAGAAUACCAAGGCGCUUGAGAGAACUCGGGUGAAGGAACUAGGCAAAAUGGUGCCGUAACUUCGGGAGAAGGCACGCUGAUAUGUAGGUGAAGUCCCUCGCGGAUGGAGCUGAAAUCAGUCGAAGAUACCAGCUGGCUGCAACUGUUUAUUAAAAACACAGCACUGUGCAAACACGAAAGUGGACGUAUACGGUGUGACGCCUGCCCGGUGCCGGAAGGUUAAUUGAUGGGGUUAGCGGUAACGCGAAGCUCUUGAUCGAAGCCCCGGUAAACGGCGGCCGUAACUAUAACGGUCCUAAGGUAGCGAAAUUCCUUGUCGGGUAAGUUCCGACCUGCACGAAUGGCGUAAUGAUGGCCAGGCUGUCUCCACCCGAGACUCAGUGAAAUUGAACUCGCUGUGAAGAUGCAGUGUACCCGCGGCAAGACGGAAAGACCCCGUGAACCUUUACUAUAGCUUGACACUGAACAUUGAGCCUUGAUGUGUAGGAUAGGUGGGAGGCUUUGAAGUGUGGACGCCAGUCUGCAUGGAGCCGACCUUGAAAUACCACCCUUUAAUGUUUGAUGUUCUAACGUUGACCCGUAAUCCGGGUUGCGGACAGUGUCUGGUGGGUAGUUUGACUGGGGCGGUCUCCUCCUAAAGAGUAACGGAGGAGCACGAAGGUUGGCUAAUCCUGGUCGGACAUCAGGAGGUUAGUGCAAUGGCAUAAGCCAGCUUGACUGCGAGCGUGACGGCGCGAGCAGGUGCGAAAGCAGGUCAUAGUGAUCCGGUGGUUCUGAAUGGAAGGGCCAUCGCUCAACGGAUAAAAGGUACUCCGGGGAUAACAGGCUGAUACCGCCCAAGAGUUCAUAUCGACGGCGGUGUUUGGCACCUCGAUGUCGGCUCAUCACAUCCUGGGGCUGAAGUAGGUCCCAAGGGUAUGGCUGUUCGCCAUUUAAAGUGGUACGCGAGCUGGGUUUAGAACGUCGUGAGACAGUUCGGUCCCUAUCUGCCGUGGGCGCUGGAGAACUGAGGGGGGCUGCUCCUAGUACGAGAGGACCGGAGUGGACGCAUCACUGGUGUUCGGGUUGUCAUGCCAAUGGCACUGCCCGGUAGCUAAAUGCGGAAGAGAUAAGUGCUGAAAGCAUCUAAGCACGAAACUUGCCCCGAGAUGAGUUCUCCCUGACCCUUUAAGGGUCCUGAAGGAACGUUGAAGACGACGACGUUGAUAGGCCGGGUGUGUAAGCGCAGCGAUGCGUUGAGCUAACCGGUACUAAUGAACCGUGAGGCUUAACCUU
rnacentral:rRNA from 1 species